rfam:Oryza sativa Japonica Group DNA, chromosome 6, cultivar: Nipponbare, complete sequence.
AAUAACCGUAGUCAUAAGUUUUGGUGUCCAACUUUGAUCGUCCAUCUUAUUUAAAAAAAAUUAUUUGUUUUUUUAUUUUUAUUACAUUAUAAAACAUGAAUAUUACUUUAUACAUGACUUAUGUUUUUUAUUUUUUUUAAAAAAAAUCAAAUAAGACAGAUGAUUAAAGUUAGAUACGGAAACUCAUGGUUACACUUAUU